rnacentral:rRNA from 1 species
GAUGAACGCUGGCGGCGUGCUUAACACAUGCAAGUCGAACGAAGCACUUGUUCACGAUCCCUUCGGGGUGACGAGCUUGUGACUGAGUGGCGGACGGGUGAGUAACGCGUGGGUAACCUGCCUCAUACAGGGGGAUAACAGUUGGAAACGGCUGCUAAUACCGCAUAAGCGCACAGCUUCGCAUGAAGUGGUGUGAAAAACUCCGGUGGUAUGGGAUGGACCCGCGUUGGAUUAGCUUGUUGGUGGGGUAACGGCCCACCAAGGCGACGAUCCAUAGCCGACCUGAGAGGGUGACCGGCCACAUUGGGACUGAGACACGGCCCAAACUCCUACGGGAGGCAGCAGUGGGGAAUAUUGCACAAUGGGCGAAAGCCUGAUGCAGCGACGCCGCGUGAAUGAAGAAGGUCUUCGGAUUGUAAAACUCUGUCCUUGGGGAAGAACAAAUGACGGUACCCUUGGAGGAAGCCCCGGCUAACUACGUG